rnacentral:tRNA from 1 species
AAAUAGUUAGUUAAAUUAUAACAUUAGUAUGUCAUGCUAAAUUUAUUAGUUAAAUCUAAUACUCUUUG